AUUGAACGCUGGCGGCAGGCCUAACACAUGCAAGUCGAGCGAGCGGCGCACGGGUGAGUAAUGUAUGGGGACUGCCCGCUAGAGGGGGGUAACUACUGGAAACGGUAUCUAUAACAGCACACGAUCGGAUAACCCAUAUGGGAUUUGCUAGUAGGUGAGGUAAUGGCUCACCUAGGCGACGAUCCCUAGCUGGUCUGAGAGGAUGAUCAGCCACACUGUGACUGAGACACGGCCCAGACUCCUACGGAGGCAGCAGUGGGGAAUAUUGCACAAUGGGCGCAAUCCUGAUGCAGCCAUGCCGCGUGUAUGAAGAAGGCCCUCGGGUUGUAAAGUACUUUCAGUCGGGAGGCGUUACCGACAGAAGAAGCACCGGCUAACUCCGUGCCAGCAGCCGCGGUAAUUC
rnacentral:rRNA from 1 species